CUGCUGUUCUCAAAAGAUUAAGCCCAUGCAUGUCUUAAGUAUUAAGCAACUUGUAACUGUGAAACUGCGAAUGGCUCAUUAAAUCAGUUAUCGUUUAUUUGAUAGUACCUUACUACAUGGAUACCUGUGGUAAUUCUAGAGCUAAUACAUGCUAAAAACCCCGACUUCAGGAAGGGGUGUAUUUAUUAGAUAAAAAACCAACGCCCUUCGGGGCUCCUUGGUGAAUCAUAAUAACUUAACGAAUCGCAUGGCCUUGCGCCGGCGAUGGUUCAUUCAAAUUUCUGCCCUAUCAACUUUCGAUGGUAGGAUAGUGGCCUACCAUGGUGGCAACGGGUAACGGGGAAUUAGGGUUCGAUUCCGGAGAGGGAGCCUGAGAAACGGCUACCACAUCCAAGGAAGGCAGCAGGCGCGCAAAUUACCCAAUCCCGAUACGGGGAGGUAGUGACAAUAAAUACUGAUACGGGGCUCUUUUGGGUCUCGUAAUUGGAAUGAGAACAAUUUAAAUCCCUUAACGAGGAACAAUUGGAGGGCAAGUCUGGUGCCAGCAGCCGCGGUAAUUCCAGCUCCAAUAGCGUAUAUUAAAGUUGUUGCAGUUAAAAAGCUCGUAGUUGAACCUUGGGUCUGGCUGGCCGGUCCGCCUCACCGCGAGUACUGGUCCGGCUGGACCUUUCCUUCUGGGGAACCUCAUGGCCUUCACUGGCUGUGGGGGGAACCAGGACUUUUACUGUGAAAAAAUUAGAGUGUUCAAAGCAGGCCUUUGCUCGAAUACAUUAGCAUGGAAUAAUAGAAUAGGACGUGUGGUUCUAUUUUGUUGGUUUCUAGGACCGCCGUAAUGAUUAAUAGGGAUAGUCGGGGGCGUCAGUAUUCAGCUGUCAGAGGUGAAAUUCUUGGAUUUGCUGAAGACUAACUACUGCGAAAGCAUUCGCCAAGGAUGUUUUCAUUAAUCAGGGAACGAAAGUUAGGGGAUCGAAGACGAUCAGAUACCGUCGUAGUCUUAACCAUAAACUAUGCCGACUAGGGAUCGGACGGGAUUCUAUAAUGACCCGUUCGGCACCUUACGAGAAAUCAAAGUUUGUAGUCAGAUCGGGUGAUUGAGG
rnacentral:rRNA from 1 species